rnacentral:rRNA from 1 species
GCCUAACGCGCGCCUCGUUGGCCUUCUAAGUCAGAUAUAAAAUCACCGGGCUUAACCUGGGAACUGCAUCUGAAACUGUUAGGCUAGAGUAGGUGAGAGGGAAGUAGAAUUUCAGGAGUAGCGGUGCAAUGCGUAAAGAUCGUAAGGAAUACCGAUGGCGAAGGCAGCUUCCUGGCAUCAUACUGACACUGAGGCUCGAAAGCGUGGGUAGCAACCAGGAUUAGAUACCCGAGUAGUCC